AAGUCGUAACAAGGUAUCCGUAGGUGAACCUGCGGAUGGAUCAUUACCAAAGAUCUACUCUACGUUUUGUGAACUGUAUUGACUGUGGUCGGCGGUCUCUGACUGCCGGCCGUACUACACGUAAACCCUUUACUAAAGUAUGAGUUACAGAGAACUCCAACAACUUUUAGCAAUGGAUCUCUUGGCUCUC
rnacentral:misc_RNA from 1 species